GACAGAGGAGCCAAGCGUUGUCCGGAUUGACUGGGCGUAAAGCGCACGCAGGCGGACGCGCGCGUGGGGUGUGAAAUCUGGCCGCUUAACGGCCAGGCGCCAUCCCAUACGGCGCGUCUGGAGUGAUGCAGAGGUCGAUGGAAUUGCCGGUGUAGUGGUGAAAUGCGUAGAGAUCGGCAGGAACACCCAGGGGAAACCAGUCGACUGGGCCAUCUACUGACGCUGAGGUGCGAGAGCGUGGGAGCGAACCGGAUUAGAAAGCCCCG
rnacentral:rRNA from 1 species